rnacentral:rRNA from 11 species
GCGUACCUUUUGUAUAAUGGGUCAGCGACUUAUUUUCAGUGGCGAGCUUAACCGAAUAGGGGAGGCGUAGCGAAAGCGAGUCUUAAUAGGGCGUCGAGUUCGUGGGAUCAGACCCGAAACCGAGUGAUCUAGGCAUGACCAGGAUGAAGGUGAGGUAACACUCACUGGAGGUCCGAACCCACACCUGUUGAAAAAGGUCGGGAUGAGUUGUGCCUAGGGGUGAAAGGCCAAUCAAACUCGGAGAUAGCUGGUUCUCCGCGAAAUCUAUUUAGGUAGAGCGUCGCGAUUAUACCCUCGGGGGUAGAGCACUGGAUGGGCUAGGGGGACUCACCGUCUUACCAAACCUAACCAAACUCCGAAUACCGAGGAGUACUGCGCGGCAGACACACUGCGGGUGCUAAGGUCCGUAGUGAAAAGGGAAACAGCCCUGACCGCCAGUUAAGGUCCCUAAGUAAUGGCUAAGUGGGAAAGGAUGUGGGAGUGCAGUGACAAUCAGGAGGUUGGCUUAGAAGCAGCCACCCUUUAAAGAAAGCGUAACAGCUCACUGAUCAAGCGCUCCUGCGCCGAAGAUGUACCGGGGCUUAAGCCAUUCACCGAAACUGCGGGUGUACAUUUCUUUCGGGAUUUGUACGCGGUAGCGGAGCGUUCCGUAAGUCUGUGAAGGGUGACCCGCGAGGGCACCUGGAGAUAUCGGAAGUGAGAAUGCUGACAUGAGUAGCGACAAAGAGGGUGAGAGACCCUCUCGCCGAAAGUCCAAGGGUUCCUGCGUAAAGCUAAUCUGCGCAGGGUUAGCCGGCCCCUAAGGCGAGGCAGAAAUGCGUAGUCGAUGGGAACCAGGUCAAUAUUCCUGGGCCGGGAGGUGGUGACGAAUUCCGUAUAUGGUUAGUCCUUAUUGGAUUGGACUAGCUGAGAAGGAGUUCCAGGAAAUAGCCCCUCCAUAACGACCGUACCCUAAACCGACACAGGUGGACAGGUAGAGUAUACUAAGGCGCUUGAGAGAACGAUGCUGAAGGAACUCGGCAAAUUGCCCUCGUAACUUCGGGAGAAGAGGGCCCUAUACUUGGGCAACCAGGUAUAGGGGGCACAGACCAGGGGGUAGCGACUGUUUACUAAAAACACAGGGCUCUGCGAAG